AGAGUUUGAUCAUGGCUCAGAUUGAACGCUGGCGGUAUGCCUUACACAUGCAAGUCGAACGGUAGAGGGGCAACCCUUGAGAGUGGCGAACGGGUGAGUAAUACAUCGGAACGUGCCCAGUCGUGGGGGAUAACGUAGCGAAAGCUACGCUAAUACCGCAUACGACCCGAGGGUGAAAGCGGGGGACUCGCAAGAGCCUCGCGCGAUUGGAGCGGCCGAUGGCAGAUUAGGUAGUUGGUGGGGUAAAGGCCCACCAAGCCUGCGAUCUGUAGCUGGUCUGAGAGGACGACCAGCCACACUGGGACUGAGACACGGCCCAGACUCCUACGGGAGGCAGCAGUGGGGAAUUUUGGACAAUGGGCGAAAGCCUGAUCCAGCCAUACCGCGUGCGGGAAGAAGGCCUUCGGGUUGUAAACCGCUUUUGUCAGGGAAGAAAUCCUUUGGGUUAAUACCUCGGAGGGAUGACGGUACCUAAG
rnacentral:rRNA from 1 species